UUAAUUUAGUUACCAUGGACACAUAUUGUGACACUGAAGCACAUGGCUGCAGAGGACAAUUGUUCCAGAUGUGAUGUCCAGAAAUUGAAGAAAUAUCGAGGUUAUUCUGAAUGGAGGUUGCAGCAGCACAAUGGUCCUCAGAUGGCUGUUUCCCUGGCAACGUGGGGAGGGCGUGUCGAGAGAGAGGUAUAAAAACGCCGGCAGCUCCUCACUGAGGCUCACUCUGAGUGACGGCCUACUCCGACCAAACCCCAUGAACGCUGGGC